AACCUGUUUAUUAAUCGACAAUCCACGCUAACUUUUACUUUUAUUAUAAAUUUAUAUACCGCUAUUUAAAGAACUAAUCUACCAAUUCUAUUCAAAAUAUAUACAUGCGAACUAAAAAAAUAAGUCAAGGUGUAAUUUAUAUUCAAGUAUAUUAUGGGUUACAAUAAAAAUUAUUUAUGGAUAAAUUUUUAAAAACAAAUUUUUAAAUAGGAUUUAUAAGUAUUUACUUCAAUAAUAUUUAUCUUCGAACAAGAUAAAAAAUGUGC
rnacentral:rRNA from 1 species